UCCUCAAACUGCAUGACAACCACAAAAUGCAAGGGGGUGGGGAGGUGGACUUGGUGUUAAAGAGAAAACCACACUGUCGACAAGAGCCAGACUUCAAAAGCAUCUAAAGAAACAAAGACAAAGCUGCCAUCAUCAUUUGUUAGUAGACAGUUGUCAUGGAGUGGGGAUUGACUCACUUUAAGCAAAAGAAUGCAUCCAGCAUUGUUUAAAGAGGGAGGCAACAGCCAAGAAGAGCUAUGUGAGGCCUCUCUUGGCCCUCCAGUUCUUCAUUAGGGAGCAAAGAAAGGAGGACUUUGCCAAGAGCAAACCUGAAACAUUCCUUUGGGUUCAGUUCAAUCGCCUGCAAGUCACGUUUCCACACAAACAUGUCCCCAGGACUGAGGAUGCAAGGCACUGUUCAAGGCGUCUCUUGGAUGAAGACAUGGCAAAAGCUACCACCACCAUGCAGCUCUGUGAUGUAUGUGAAGAGAAUCCGUUUACAGGAGAUGAUUGUAAAUUAUUACCCUCUAAAACUGACAUAUGCCUCUCUGAGAAUAUAAACUCCAUAAUUAUGAGCACUCACUUUCAGAGAACCAAUGACUUUAGAUCUGAACCAAUGACUUUAGAGUUCAAAAGACCAGAGAUAUCUGUCAGAUGUCUCAAUCACAUCAUUUUAAAAUAAGAGAAAGUUUAGGCUAAGAGAGAGCAAGGGAUUUGUCUAAGAUCAAGGGGCUGAUCAGAGUUUCAUGUAGAACCAAGACUUGUGAUUCCAAAUUCAGCAGCUUUGACCUCUGCUCUUUAUGCCCUGGACUUACGCAAUACUCAGUGCCUGACACAGAUACAUUUUCACACUUCAGCCUUUCUGACUUACUCUGAACCAAUCCUUUUGAAAGUUUUCUUUAUUUAUCAUAUCUGCUUUUCUUGCAUUUUAAAAAUAAACAUUGUGGCAGUCAGAGAUCCAAGAUUCUGUUACUAAAGUACAACUGGAAAAUCUUAAAUAUAUCACGUAGAAUCUGAGAAAUCACUAAUAAGAAUUAUAGUAAAAAUUUAUGACAUCAAUAUAACAAUUUCAUUAUUUUUAGAAAGCAAGGUCCUUGUGUGUCUUUUUAAAAUAUGUUUAUCUAACAUGCAUUCAUUUGGCACCUUCUUAAGGUCUUCCAAGUAUUCAUGUGGAGUGCUAAAGAUUUUACAAAAACCAACAACAUUCAUUAUCUUCUGCCUUUAUGAAGGUUCUUGCUGGUGGCC
rnacentral:lncRNA from 1 species